rnacentral:lncRNA from 1 species
AUUGGGGGGCAUUACAAAUUUAAAAUUUAAUUUUGAAUAUUAUGUGUUGACAGGUAUUAUGUUUGAUAAGAAAAAAUAUUUGAAAAAAUGUGUGGAUAGGAAAUAAAUUUAAUUUUACGUAUUACGUGAUUGGCGGAGGUAUUACGUGAUUGGCGGGUAUUAAGUUAGAUAAGAGAUAAAUUUAGUUUUACGUAUUAAAUUAUUGGUGGGUAGAAAAAAAAAUUUAAGAAACGCGGCGUACAUAAGAGAUAACGGAUAUGGAGGGUAUUUUUGUCAACAAAAAUGACAGAUACUUUUAUUUUUAUUCGUUGGAUGAGAUCCAAUGGCGAAAACUUAAAAUCUAUAUUUAAGAAUAAAUUAUUAUUUAAAGAUUUAUUUAAAAUGGAUGGUUGAAAAUUACUAGACAUGACAAUAUUAGUAAAAAUGAUAGAGACAUUUUUGAAAAGAAAAAAAAUUCAAAACUCACGCUUU